GGGCGUGUGGUCUAGUGGUAUGAUUCUCGCUUUGGGCGGACUGCUCAGGCAACUGAGCUGACUAACAAGCAUGCGAGAGGCCCUGGGUUCAAUUCCCAGCUCGCCCC
rfam:Candida tanzawaensis NRRL Y-17324 unplaced genomic scaffold CANTAscaffold_7, whole genome shotgun sequence.